GCAAGUCGAGCGCACCCUUCGGGGCGAGCGGCGGACGGGUUAGUAACGCGUGGGAAUGUACCCUUUACUACGGAAUAGCCUCGGGAAACUGAGAGUAAUACCGUAUGUGCCCUUCGGGGGAAAGAUUUAUCGGUAAAGGAUCAGCCCGCGUAAGAUUAGAUAGUUGGUGGGGUAAUGGCCUACCAAGGCGACGAUCUAUAGCUGGUCUGAGAGGAUGAUC
rnacentral:rRNA from 1 species